AGAGUUUGAUCCCGGCUCAGGAUAAACGCUAGCGGUGUGCAUUAUGCAUGCAAGUCGAACGGUCUAUCGCAAGAUAGAUAGUGGCAGACGGCUGAGUAACGCGUAAGUAACCUGUCCUUAAGUGGGGAAUAACCUGCCGAAAGGUGGACUAAUACCGCAUGUGGUGAUGGGAUUAGUUUUUCAUCACUAAAGCUUUCGAGCGCUUGAGGAGGGGCUUGCGUCCUAUCAGGUUGUUGGUGGGGUAAUGGCCUACCAAGCCUACGACGGGUAGCUGGUCUGAGAGGAUGAUCAGCCACACUGGAACUGGAACACGGUCCAGACUCCUACGGGAGGCAGCAGUAAGGAAUAUUGCACAAUGGGGGAAACCCUGAUGCAGCAACGCCGCGUGAGCGAAGAAGGCCUUCGGGUUGUAAAGCUCUUUUCUGUGGGACGAGGAAGGACGGUACCGCAGGAACAAGUCUCGGCUAACUACGUGCCAGCAGCCGCGGUAACACGUAGGAGACGAGCGUUAUCCGGAUUCACUGGGCGUAAAGGGCAAGUAGGCGGUUGCACAAGUUGGGCGUGACAAUCUCUGGCUUAACUAGGGAAGGACGUUCAAAACUAGGCAACUAGAGGGCAGGAGAGGAAAGCGGAAUUCCUAGUGUAGCGGUGGAAUGCUCAGAUAUUAGGAAGAACACCAGUGGCGAAGGCGGCUUCCUGGCCUGCACCUGACGCUGAGAGGCGAAAGCUAGGGUAGCAAACGGGCUUAGAUACCCCGGUAGUCCUAGCUGUAAACGUUGGAUACUGGGUAUUGGGGGCGACAAUGCUCUCAGUGCCGAAGCAAACGCGUUAAGUAUCCCGCCUGGGGACUACGGCCGCAAGGUUAAAACUCAAAGGAAUUGACGGGGGCCCGCACAAGCAGCGGAGCGUGUGGUUUAAUUCGAUGCAACACGAAGAACCU
rnacentral:rRNA from 1 species